rnacentral:tRNA from 2 species
CCGAAAAUGUUGGUUUAAACCCUUCCUGUACUA